rfam:Camelus ferus unplaced genomic scaffold scaffold760, whole genome shotgun sequence.
AGGUAUAUAGCUCAAGUGGUAGAGUGCAUGCUCAUCAUGCAUGAGGUCCUAGGUUCAAUCCCCAGUACCUC